rfam:Rattus norvegicus chromosome 13, whole genome shotgun sequence.
GGGGACUUAGCUCAGUGGUAGAGCACUUGCCUAGCAAGCGCAAGGCCCUGGGUUCGAUCCCCAGCUCCG